rnacentral:rRNA from 1 species
UUGAGGUGAAAUGCUUAUACUUUCAUUUAUAGACUAGAUAAUGUUUAAUAUUUAAUUUAUAAUUAUAAUAUUAAAUCUUAAUCUAACCUAUGGCAUUCAUCAUUUACUGCAAAGACUACUUGGGUAUCUAAUCCUGUUUGUGCUCUGUGCCUUCGUCCUUUAACGUCAGUUUUUACAUAGAAGGCUGCCUUCGCCUUUACCGAGUCCCUUUGGUAUCAUAGAAUUUCAUCUCUCCUCCUCAAGUACUGCCCUCUUACAUAAAACUCUAGUCAAGUACUAACAUUUUAGAAGCUAUAUUGACCGUCUAGGUACCCUUUAAACCUAAUUAAGAUGAAUAACACUAGUCUCUUACGUAUUACCGCGACUGCUGGCACGCAAUUAGUCAAGACACGAUAUAUAUACUGUCAUUAUCAAUAUAUAAACAAAGCUUUAUUCAAUUUUAAUACAAUCCUAUAGAUCAUAUUCAAAGAUAUGAUCAAAAUAGGACUUGCCACUUCUCCAAGUUGCCAGUUCAGCCGUUAGGC